ACCAAUUGUGCUUUAGGACAUCUAAAAAGCAUAUGAUCAAUAGUUUUACUUUCCCUACCACAAACCUUACACACAUCACAAGUAUGUCUUAAUCUUUUAGAAAUGACAUGAUGAAUAGGUGCAAUUCUGUGUUCGAAAUUUAAUAUUUGUUGUAAAAUUACUAAUAUAUAGAAAUGGCAGUUGAGAAGGAUGAACAGAGGCAAAAUUGUAAUUUUCAUUUUAAUUUUAGGGGCAAAUUUGGAACUUAAAUCACUUUGCUGCUGUGUAUAUGCGAUUCUUCUUCCUCAUUCACAUAGAUUUUAGAAUCUACCAAGAGAUCUAUUUUCUGUCUCGCUUCUUCUUCUCCACUUCGGGCCUUCAUACUGCUCUGCAAUUCAGGUCAUCGUCUUAAUUUCUCUGCUUUGGUUCGAGUUUGUUUUCUCUAUUGCCGUAUUUCUGAAUUUACCGAAACAUUGUACUCUAUCAAUCAAUAACUCAAAAGUGUAGGGUAUUUCUUAAGGCUCUGGCAGGACAGCAAGCCGAAAACAUCGACCCCAAGAUAGUAAAAUGGAAGUUGCUGCAAGAUGAAUGACACUUCAGAACAUGUCUCUACAUGUAUCCCUCCCGAGGUAAAGCUUCUUAGGCUUCAUCGUCCAAUCAUAGUUGUUAUAUUAUUCUUGAGGAAAUAGCUAUGAAAACACAGCCUCAUAGAUUAAGAAAAGAACUUUAUCAGACAAUUGAAUUUGUUUGAUCUCGAGGUAUUAUGUUAUCCUAUUUUUGAACUAGCAAUUUAGUGAUUUUCAGCUUGGAAGUUAUGUGAUACCUCCCAGCCGCCAUUCAUUUUAUGUUUUGUAACAUGUGUGUAUAUUUUGUAAUGUAUAUUCAGAAUUAACUGAUGAUUUGCUAAUAUGAGUUAUAGGUGUAUUUACGUCUUAAGAUGUAGAUUUGUACAAACUAUUUAGUAAAAGCAUUGGGUUGGUAGUUCUGCUUCUAAUGAUUAAUGGGAAAAUAGUCUAUUUUAUGUUCUUUACUGUUACACUUCGGAAAAAUUUCAUGUCAUUGUGCAGUGAAUAGGCCAACGUAAGUUAAGGUGUAUAUGAUGG